rnacentral:rRNA from 1 species
UACCAUGCAAGUCGAACGGUAACAGGAAACAGCUUGCUGUUUCGCUGACGAGUGGCGGACGGGUGAGUAAUGUCUGGGAAACUGCCUGAUGGAGGGGGAUAACUACUGGAAACGGUAGCUAAUACCGCAUAACGUCGCAAGACCAAAGAGGGGGACCUUCGGGCCUCUUGCCAUCGGAUGUGCCCAGAUGGGAUUAGCUAGUAGGUGGGGUAACGGCUCACCUAGGCGACGAUCCCUAGCUGGUCUGAGAGGAUGACCAGCCACACUGGAACUGAGACACGGUCCAGACUCCUACGGGAGGCAGCAGUGGGGAAUAUUGCACAAUGGGCGCAAGCCUGAUGCAGCCAUGCCGCGUGUAUGAAGAAGGCCUUCGGGUUGUAAAGUACUUUCAGCGGGGAGGAAGGGAGUAAAGUUAAUACCUUUGCUCAUUGACGUUACCCGCAGAAGAAGCACCGGCUAACUCCGUGCCAGCAGCCGCGGUAAU